rnacentral:rRNA from 1 species
CUUCCCUUUGGUUCGGAAUAACAAGAGGAAACUUUUGCUAAUACCGGAUAAGUCUUUACGGAGAAAGCUUUAUGCGCCAUUGGAUGAGCCUGCACUUGAUUAGUUAGUUGGUGGGGUAAAGGCCUACCAAGACAAUGAUCAAUAGCUGAUUUGAGAGGAUGAUCAGCCACAUUGGGACUGAGACACGGCCCAAACUCCUACGGGAGGCAGCAGUAGGGAAUCUUGCACAAUGGGGGAAACCCUGAUGCAGCGAUGCCGCGUGAGUGAAGAAGGCCUUUGGGUUGUAAAGCUCUUUCGUCGGGGAAGAAAAUGACUGUACCCGAAUAAGAAGGUCCGGCUAACUUCGUGCCAGCAGCCGCGGUAAUACGAAGGGACCUAGCGUAGUUCGGAAUUACUGGGCUUAAAGAGUUCGUAGGUGGUUAAAAAAGUUGGUGGUGAAAUCCCAGAGCUUAACUCUGGAACUGCCAUCAAAACUUUUUAGCUAGAGUAUGAUAGAGGAAAGCAGAAUUUCUAGUGUAGAGGUGAAAUUCGUAGAUAUUAGAAAGAAUACCGAUUGCGAAGGCAGCUUUCUGGAUCAUUACUGACACUGAGGAACGAAAGCAUGGGUAGCGAAGAGGAUUAGAUACCCUCGUAGUCCAUGCCGUAAACGAUGUGUGUUAGACGUUGGAAAUUUAUUUUCAGUGUCGUAGCGAAAGCGAUAAACACACCGCCUGGGGAGUACGACCGCAAGGUUAAAACUCAAAUGAAUUGACGGGGACCCGCACAAGUAG